GACGAACGCUGGCGGCGUGCUUAACACAUGCAAGUCGAACGGAAAGGCCCUGCUUUUGUGGGGUGCUCGAGUGGCGAACGGGUGAGUAACACGUGAGUAACCUGCCCUUGACUUUGGGAUAACUUCAGGAAACUGGGGCUAAUACCGGAUAGGAGCUCCUGCUGCAUGGUGGGGGUUGGAAAGUUUCGGCGGUUGGGGAUGGACUCGCGGCUUAUCAGCUUGUUGGUGGGGUAGUGGCUUACCAAGGCUUUGACGGGUAGCCGGCCUGAGAGGGUGACCGGCUACAUUGGGACUGAGAUACGGCCCAGACUCCUACGGGAGGCAGCAGUGGGGAAUACUGCACAAUGGGCGGAAGCCUGAUGCAGCAACGCCGCGUGCGGGAUGACGGCCUUCGGGUUGUAAACCGCUUUCGCCUGUGACGAAGCGUGAGUGACGGUAAUGGGUAAAGAAGCACCGGCUAACUACGUG
rnacentral:rRNA from 1 species